rnacentral:rRNA from 1 species
AUUGAACGCUGGCGGCAUGCUUUACACAUGCAAGUCGAGCGGCAGCGCGGGGCAACCCUGGCGGCGAGCGGCGAACGGGUGAGUAAUACAUCGGAACGUACCCCGUAGUGGGGGAUAACCCGGCGAAAGCCGGACUAACACCGCAUAUGCUCUACGGGAGGAAAGUGGGGAUUCAGCAGGCAACUGGAGGAACCUCACGCUAGUGGGAGCGGCCGAUGUCCGANAGCUUGUUGGCGGGGUAAAGGCCCACCAAGGCGACGAUCGGUAGCUGGUCUGAGAGGAU